AUAGUCAAACAAAGCAAACCAAAAAAACUAAAACAUAUCUCAGUACCCGGAAAAAAAUCAACCAAGAUUCCCCCAGUAGCAGUAGCGAGGAGUAAACGCGGAGCAGCCCAAAAGUCAAGAUCAAUAUUUACCGCAGGAGAAAAGUUUAGAAAAGCCAGCAAUAAAAGUGAUAGCCCCGUAUCUAAAACAGUAAGUGUUGUAAACUCAAAAAGUAAAGUAAGGCACGUGUUAUCCUGUCUAAAUAUGGGGAGGCCGUCCUACAAAACUAAAUACUCCUGACUGACCGAUAGUAAACCAGUACCGUGAGAGAAAAGCAAAAAAAACCGGCAAAGAGAGUGAAAUAAAACCUAAAACCGUCUACGUACAAGCAGUCAAAGCACCCAAAAAAGUGUGACUGCGUACCUUUUUGUAAAGGGUCAGCGAUUUAUAUUCUUUAGCAAGAAUAACCAGAUAAAAAAGCCGUAAAAAACCGAGUCUUAACUAGGUGUUAAGUUGCAGAGUAUAAACCCAAAACCCAGUGAUCUAGCCAUAGGCAAAUUGAAUGUUGGGUAACAC
rnacentral:rRNA from 1 species